rnacentral:rRNA from 1 species
GAGUUUGAUCCUGGCUCAGAUUGAACGCUGGCGGCAUGCUUUACACAUGCAAGUCGAACGGUAACAGGUCUUCGGAUGCUGACGAGUGGCGAACGGGUGAGUAAUACAUCGGAACGUGCCUAGUAGUGGGGGAUAACUACUCGAAAGAGUAGCUAAUACCGCAUGAGAUCUACGGAUGAAAGCAGGGGACCUUCGGGCCUUGUGCUACUAGAGCGGCUGAUGGCAGAUUAGGUAGUUGGUGGGGUAAAGGCUUACCAAGCCUGCGAUCUGUAGCUGGUCUGAGAGGACGACCAGCCACACUGGGACUGAGACACGGCCCAGACUCCUACGGGAGGCAGCAGUGGGGAAUUUUGGACAAUGGGCGAAAGCCUGAUCCAGCAAUGCCGCGUGCAGGAUGAAGGCCCUCGGGUUGUAAACUGCUUUUGUACGGAACGAAAAGCCUGGGGCUAAUAUCCCCGGGUCAUGACGGUACCGUAAGAAUAAGCACCGGCUAACUACGUGCCAGCAGCCGCGGUAAUACGUAGGGUGCAAGCGUUAAUCGGAAUUACUGGGCGUAAAGCGUGCGCAGGCGGUUUUGUAAGACAGUGGUGAAAUCCCCGGGCUCAACCUGGGAACUGCCAUUGUGACUGCAAGGCUAGAGUGCGGCAGAGGGGGAUGGAAUUCCGCGUGUAGCAGUGAAAUGCGUAGAUAUGCGGAGGAACACCGAUGGCGAA